rnacentral:rRNA from 1 species
AUUGAACGCUGGCGGCAGGCCUAACACAUGCAAGUCGAACGGUAACAGGAAACAGCUUGCUGUUUCGCUGACGAGUGGCGGGCGGGUGAGUAAUGUCUGUGAAACUGCCUGAUGGAGGGGGAUAACUACUGGAAACGGUAGCUAAUACCGCAUAACGUCGCAAGACCAAAGAGGGGGACCCUCGGGCCUCUUGCCAUCGGAUUUGCCCAGAUGGGAUUAGCUUGUUGGUGGGGUAACGGCUCACCAAGGCGACGAUCCCUAGCUGGUCUGAGAGGAUGACCAGCCACACUGGAACUGAGACACGGUCCAGACUCCUACGGGAGGCAGCAGUGGGGAAUAUUGCACAAUGGGCGAAAGCCUGAUGCAGCCAUGCCGCGUGUAUGAAGAAGGCCUUCGGGUUGUAAAGUACUUUUAGCGGGGAGGAAGGGAGUAAAGUUAAUACCUUUGCUCAUUGACGUUACCCGCAGAAGAAGCACCGGCUAACUCCGUG